rnacentral:tRNA from 1 species
AGGGGUGGAGCUCAGCGGUAGAGCACGUGCUUAGCACGCAUGAGGUCUUGGCUUCAAUCCCAAGUACCUCCA